rnacentral:rRNA from 1 species
CGGCGUUAAUAUACGACCCGAUUAGCAGCUUCCGGGAAACCAAAGUUUUUCGUUUCCGGGGGAAGUAUGGUUGCAAAGCUGAAACUUAAAGGAAUUGACGGAAGGGCACCACCAGGAGUGGAGCCUGCGGCUUAAUUUGACUCAACACGGGAAAACUCACCCGGCCCGGACACCGUAAGGAUUGACAGACUGAGAGCUCUUUCUUAAUUCGGUGGGUGGUGGUGCAUGGCCGUUCUUAGUUGGUGGAGCGAUUUGUCUGGUUAAUUCCGAUAACGAACGAGACUCUGGCCUAUUAAAUAGACGAUUUAUUCGAAAAGUAGAUCGCGCUUCUUAGAGGGACAAGCGGCGUCUAGCCGCAUGAAAUAGAGCAAUAACAGGUCUGUGAUGCCCUUAGAUGUCCGGGGCUGCACGCGCGCUACACUGAAAGAAUCAGCGUGCUAAACGCCUAGUUCGGAAGGACCGGGUAACCCAAGUAAAUUCUUUCGUGCUUGGGAUAGGGAAUUGCAAUUAUUUCCCUUAAACGAGGAAUUCCCAGUAAAUGCGGGUCAUAAGCUCGCGUUGAUUACGUC